UGGGGAAUAUUGCACAAUGGGGGAAACCCUGAUGCAGCCAUGCCGCGUGUGUGAAGAAGGCCCUAGGGUUGUAAAGCACUUUCAGCAGGGAGGAAAGGUUGAAGGUUAAUAGCUUUCAGCUGUGACGUUACCUGCAGAAGAAGCACCGGCAAACUCCGUGCCAGCAGCCGCGGUAAUACGGAGGGUGCGAGCGUUAAUCGGAAUUACUGGGCGUAAAGCGCGCGUAGGCGGAUGAUUAAGUCGGAUGUGAAAUCCCCGGGCUCAACCUGGGAACUGCAUACGAUACUGGUCAUCUAGAGUACAGUAGAGGGUGGUGGAAUUUCCUGUGUAGCGGUGAAAUGCGUAGAUAUGGGAAGGAACAUCAGUGGCGAAGGCGGCCACCUGGACUGAUACUGACGCUGAGGUGCGAAAGCGUGGGGAGCAAACAGGAUUAGAUACCCCCGUAGUCC
rnacentral:rRNA from 1 species